UACGUAGGGGGCGAGCAUUGUCCGGAGUUACUGGGCGUAAAGGGCAUGCAGGCGGUCGGACGCGUUUCGGGUGACAGCGGGUGGCUUAACUACCCGAGUGGUCGAAAGACGGUUUGACUUGAGGACGCGAGAGGGACACGGAAUUCCGGGUGGAGUGGUGAAAUGCGUAGAGAUCCGGAGGAACACCGAAGGCGAAGGCAGUGUCCUGGCGCGUAACUGACGCUGAGGUGCGAAAGCCAGGGGAGCGAACGGG
rnacentral:rRNA from 1 species